rnacentral:rRNA from 1 species
GAUCAUGGCUCAGGAUGAACGCUAGCUACAGGCUUAACACAUGCAAGUCGAGGGGAAACGACAUCGAAAGCUUGCUUUUGAUGGGCGUCGACCGGCGCACGGGUGAGUAACGCGUAUCCAACCUGCCCACCACUUGGGGAUAACCUUGCGAAAGUAAGACUAAUACCCAAUGACGUCUCUAGAAGACAUCUGAAGGAGAUUUAAAGAUUUAUCGGUGAUGGAUGGGAUGCGUCUGAUUAG